rnacentral:tRNA from 1 species
GGAAUAUAGCUCAGUUGGUAGAGUGCUUGCCUUGCAUGCACAAGGCCCUGGGUUCAAUCCCCAGCACCA